AUGGACUGUUAACUAUAGCUAAAGCCAGCGAGCCGCCGAUAUGGUCGUUGAGCUCAGAGGCGGCUCUGUAACUUGCUUGGUACUGAACCAAGAAUACUGCUACUAUGGCUGUCCCAAUUGGGAAUUUCUUUAUCCUGAAAUGUCUUCUAUUGUCUCUUCUACUAGCAGGUUUCUCUUCUGAAGGAAAUGUCUUACGAGUCACUUGCGGAAUCGAGCUAGCUUUGGAACUGGUGUUGUUUCCAGACGAGGGAAGAGCUGUGUUUGAUGGAGUCCAAUAAUCUUCUCCAAGCAUGUAAGCUGAUCCUUUUUCUUUAGUUUUCCCCCCGCUCUGUUCUGCUUGUUUCAUUGCUGCCACAGCAUCUUGAAGCUUUCUGAUAUCUGGAUCAACUGUUUUUUUUCGUUUGGUGAAAGUUAGACUCAUGUUUGAAUCUGGACUCAACGGUUUCGUGUACGGUGAUGAUCUCCAGUAUAGCCAAUUGGAAAUGGACCUUAUUGCCUCUACUGCACUUAUUUGUACUUCUC
rnacentral:lncRNA from 1 species